AUCGAACGCUGGCGGCAUGCCUUACACAUGCAAGUCGAACGGUAACGGGCCUUCUGGUGCCGACGCUUGGCGUACGGGUGAGUAAUACAUCGGUACGUGCCCUAUCGUGGGGGAUAACGAGGCGAAAGCUUUGCUAAUACCGCUUACGAUCUACGGUUGAACUCCGUGGACCGCAUGGCCUUGCGCGGACGGUUCGGCCUAUGGCAGAUUAGGUAGUUGGUGGGAUAAAAGCUUACCAAGCCGACGAUCUGUAGCUGGUCUGAGAGGAUGAUCAGCCACACUGGGACUGAGACACGGCCCAGACUCCUACGGGAGGCAGCAGUGGGGAAUGUUGGACAAUGGGCGCAAGCCUGAUCCAGCCAUGCCGCGUGCAGGAUGAAGGCCUUCGGGUUGUAAACUGCUUUUGUACGGAACGAAAAGCCUUCUUUUAAUACAGGAGGGUAAUGACGGUACCGGAAGAAUAAGCACCGGCUAACUACGUG
rnacentral:rRNA from 1 species